rnacentral:rRNA from 1 species
GUGAAAUUGUUGAAAGGGAAACGUUUGAAGUUAGUAGAACCGGCACAAAAUCAGCUUACGCAUCAAGGCAAUUAGCGCACUUGCGAGCCUAAUGUGAGGUCCAUUUUUGUGUCGGCUGGUUAACAUCAAUUUUGACUAUCAUAAAAAGGCUAAAGGGAAUGUGGCACCUUCGGGAGUGUGAUAACAACCCUUGGCGGAAUGUGGUGGUCGGGAUUGAGGAUUGCAACGAAUACCUUUAGGGCUGUUCUAACUGGUCUGGCCACUCCCUCUUUGGUUAUCAUAUAACUGACAUGUUCCACCAAUUUGGGAGGGUUAGUCAGGUGGUUCAAAUUCGUUAAGGAUGUUGACGUAAUGGCUUUAAACGAC